AUGCCCACGGCAGCACAUAUAUGAAAACUGGAAUGAUACAGAGAAGAUUAGCAUGGCCCCUGCACAAGGAUGACACACAAAUUCAUGAAGUGUUCCAUAUUUUU
rnacentral:snRNA from 1 species